GAUUAAGCCUGCAUGUCUCAGUAUAAGCUUCUAUACGGCGAAACUGCGAAUGGCUCAUUAAAACAGUUAUAGUUUAUUUGAUGGUCAGCAAUUACAUGGAUAACCGUGGUAAUUCUAGAGCUAAUACAUGCGCCCAAACCCGACUUCGUGGAAGGGUUGUGUUUAUUAGAUACAGAACCAACCCAGGCUCCGCCUGGCCUUGAGGUGAUUCAUAAUAACCGAACGAAUCGCAUGGCUCUGCCGGCGAUAGACCAUUCAAGUUUCUGACCUAUCAGCUAUCGUCGGUAGGGUAUUGGCCUACCGUGGCCAUGACGGGUAACGGAGAAUUAGGGUUCGAUUCCGGAGAGGGAGCCUGAGAAACGGCUACCACAUCUAAGGAAGGCAGCAGGCGCGCAAAUUACCCAAUCCUGACGCAGGGAGGUAGUGACAAGAAAUAACAAUACAGGGCAUACAUGUCUUGUAAUUGGAAUGAGUAAACUUUAAAUCACUUUACGAGUAUCAAUUGGAGGG
rnacentral:rRNA from 1 species